CAGUGGUCAGGGGUGUGCACUGUGACAUUGCACUGAUCCAUGGGGAGAAUGUGCUGUGGCUGAAGGAAAUCUCUGGAUGCUCGGCUACAGCUGCUGUGCAGCUCCUGGGAGCUCAGCAGGAUAAAUAGCAAGAGACGUGCCUCUAAUUGCACAUCAGCAGAGCUGAUCCCUCAAGGAUAUUGGCUGGUACAAGGGAAAAGGAGCAGGAUAUUCUCAGGAGUCAAACUGCAUGGCCAGGCACCAAUCUAGACUGAGCCUGCAAGGGAUCACCUGGACACUGCUGCCAGGCCACUGGAAAUCUGGUGGAAGCCCAAACUCUCUCCCCAGUCAGCAGGGCACUUUUUGCUGGAUGUCAGCUGUGUGAGUUUGGCUUCAAGGUCCUGCUCCUUCCUUUAGGAAGGACACACAUGCACAUCCCUGGGCGUGGGGGAGGACAGCAAAUGCAUCACUUGGACAGAAAACAAGAGACUCCCUCCAGCUCUUCCCUGGGAGGAGGUUUCAAAGCAGUUAACAAGGGAGGGUGAUACAACCAUCAUCAUUUGACAGAGGAAUUGCGGUGGGAGUGCCUUGGAGUGGCAAAGCCAGGUAGGAUUUGGUAGCUGAGCCUGAGACUUGAUCCUGGCCCUGCAGUCUGUGCCCUUGCAUCUGCCUUUCUGACACCCCACUCAAAAGAGAGCCUGGUCCUGAGCAAGAGGAAGAAAGGGAAUCAUCAGAUGCUCCAGGACAGAUAUUCCAUCCUGGAUGUGUUUAACUGCUUUGUCCCAGCAUGCUGUGGUCAUCUGUCAGCUCUAAGCACAUGACCAGCUUCAGGACGUGCUGCCCAGAGCUUCUCCUGGGCUUCACACACUGGGUGAAGAAAAGAUCUCUGUGCACAAGAGCUCCUGGUUCUGUGCAAUUCAAAACGUGACAAAAGGUCUCAUAUCCAACCCUCAGCCUCUGAGUGGGCUCCUCGCCUCUGACAAAGCCUUAGGGAUGUAUUUAAGGGGGACAGGAGGACAUGUAAGAGGAGGACCUUCAUUCCCCAGUUCUUCAGCAGACAACUAAACUGAAGGAUGGCUUGAGUUUAUUUUAAAAAAUCCCAAGACUCUCUUUUCUUCCAGAAGCUCAUUCCCAAGAGUCUCAUGAUGCUGCUGCCAUCCUGGCACCUGCCCAGCCCUGAAUGGAAAAAUAAAUCCAACACUUUCUUAGUCACACAAAACUUGCUGAAGCUAAUGGCUAUUUGCUGAAUAAAGAAGCAGCAAAAUGA